rnacentral:tRNA from 1 species
CGGGGCGUGGCGCAGCUUGGUAGCGCGCGUGCCUUGGGAGCACGAGGUCGCCGGUUCAAAUCCGGCCGCCCCGACCA